CAGUCGCCGCGGUAAUACGGAGGGUGCAAGCGUUAAUCGGAAUUACUGGGCGUAAAGCGCACGCAGGCGGUCUGUUAAGUCAGAUGUGAAAUCCCCGGGCUCAACCCGGGAACUGCAUUUGAAACUGGCAGGCUUGAGUCUUGUAGAGGGGGGUAGAAUUCCAGGUGUAGCGGUGAAAUGCGUAGAGAUCUGGAGGAAUACCGGUGGCGAAGGUGGCCCCCUGGACAAAGACUGACGCUCAGGUGCGAAAGCGUGGGGAGCAAACAGGAUUAGAUACCCCAGUAGUCCCUGUCUCUUAUAC
rnacentral:rRNA from 1 species